rnacentral:rRNA from 1 species
UACAGAGGUCUCAAGCGUUGUUCGGAUUCAUUGGGCGUAAAGGGUGCGUAGGCGGCGCGGUAAGUCACUUGUGAAAUCUCUGAGCUUAACUCAGAACGGCCAAGUGAUACUGCAGUGCUAGAGUGCAGAAAGGGCAAUCGGAAUUCUUGGUGUAGCGGUGAAAUGCGUAGAUAUCAAGAGGAACACCAAUGGCGAAGGCAGCUCGCUGGGACGUGACUGACGCUGAGACGCGAAAGCGUGGGGAGCGAACAGG